GACGUAGGGUGCGAGCGUUGUCCGGAUUUAUUGGGCGUAAAGAGCUCGUAGGCGGCUCGUCGCGUCGGCUGUGAAAACCCGCGGCUUAACUGUGGGCUUGCAGCUGAUACGGGCGGGCUAGAGUUCGGUAGGGGAGACUGGAAUUCCUGGUGUAGCGGUGGAAUGCGUAGAGAUCGGGAAGAACAUCAGUGGCGAAGGCGGUCUGCUGGGCCGUUGCUGACGCUGAGGCGCGACAGCGUGGGGGAGCAAACAGG
rnacentral:rRNA from 1 species